GAUGAACGCUGGCGGCGUGCCUAAUACAUGCAAGUCGAGCGAACGGACGAGAAGCUUGCUUCUCUGAUGUUAGCGGCGGACGGGUGAGUAACACGUGGAUAACCUACCUAUAAGACUGGGAUAACUUCGGGAAACCGGAGCUAAUACCGGAUAAUAUUUUGAACCGCAUGGUUCAAAAGUGAAAGACGGUCUUGCUGUCACUUAUAGAUGGAUCCGCGCUGCAUUAGCUAGUUGGUAAGGUAACGGCUUACCAAGGCAACGAUGCAUAGCCGACCUGAGAGGGUGAUCGCCCACACUGGAACUGAGACAAGGUCCAGACUCCUACGGGAGGCAGCAGUAGGGAAUCUUCCGCAAUGGGCGAAAGCCUGACGGAGCAACGCAGCGUGAGUGAUGAAGGUCUUCGGAUCGUAAAACUCUGUUAUUAGGGAAGAACAUAUGUGUAAGUAACUGUGCACAUAUUGACGGUACCUAAUCAGAAAGCCACGGCUAACUACGUG
rnacentral:rRNA from 1 species